rnacentral:rRNA from 1 species
GACGAACGCUGGCGGCGUGCUUAACACAUGCAAGUCGUACGGUAAGGCCCUUUCGGGGGUACACGAGUGGCGAACGGUUGAGUAACACGUGAGUAACCUGCCCACAACUUUCUUAUAACGCUAGUAAACUGGUUCUAAUACUGGCUAUGUGCCCCUUCUUCAUGGUGGGGGUUGGUAAGCUCCUGCGGUUGUGGAUGGACUCGCUGCCUAUCAGCUUGUUGGUUGGGGAGUUGCCUACCAAGGCGGCCACGGGUAGCCGGCCUGAGAGGGUGACCGGCCAAAAUGGGAAUGAGAGACGGACCAGACGCCGACGGGAGGAAGCAGGGGGGAAUAUUGCAAAAUGGGCGCAAGCCUGAUGCAGAAAAGCCGCGGGCAGGAUGACGGGCUUAGGGUUGAAAACCGCAUUCAGCAGGGACGAAGCUUUUUGUGACGGUACCUGCAGAAGAAGCACCGGCUAACUACGUG